UUAUGCAGAAUUCAAAGUAGAUGCAAUUAGUGCUACAAAUUAGAAAUUGCAAAUGAUGAAUUCACAAACACAUGAUUUAACAAAUCAGAGAAGAGAAAAAAAUAUCUGAUGAAUUUCAGUCUCUACAUGUGGAUUUAAUCUUGUGAUAAGCAGUUCUCAGGAGAAAGCAUGAGAUGUCAUUUGUCAUUCCAGAAAGUGGGAGAACAUAAAAGUUGAGAACACUUAUUACAUAAGCAAGAAGUAUCAAUGAAGACAAUUAAUAUAAUACAUACAGAUGCAUUUGACUGUAUGAGAAAAGGCAUUUCAUGUUAUUUGCUUUGUAGAUACAAUAUCAGUUUCGAUGAGAUUCAUGCUGCAUGGAUGGUUACACCUGUCACCUGUGGAUGGCUAAUCUUAAUGCCUGUGAUGACAAGUAGACCACAGAGGAGAAUGCAAAGGAUUUGAGUGAAGAGCCACUGAUGGGAUGACACAGAGGGCCCAGAUGGAUGACUGAAGAUUACAGGAGAGGAACAGUGAUCUUGGGGAGCUCUUCAUUUUAGGGUAACGCUUGUAUGAGAAAGAAGAACUGGUGAUGCAGGAAGUCAAAUACCACCAGCUUAGUGGGUCAGCAUCCUCUCCUCCCACAUAAGCGGAGUUCGGAGCAUGAGAUAAAAUACCUGGGUGCCCUUUGCUCCAGCCUCGUGCUCCCACAACUUUGCUUCUGACAGAGUACUUAUCUCUCUGACCACUGGGAAACUACUAAAAGAGAGAAACUUGAAAAGGAUUGGACCUUUCUGUGCAGAUCUCUUUGAAAAUUGUCACCUUCCAGGUUAGCUUUUAAGAGAAGCCCAAUAUAUUAGGAACCUGAAAAUAAAGGAAAGUUUGCACAUUGAAACAUCACUUGCUAAUAGUUUUAUUAUUGGAAAUGGAAAUUUGGAAUUCUAGAAAAAGAAAUGUCAUUAGGGGGUUAGGAAUUAACCACUUGCUACCUAUGCUAAUGUGACGUGGUUAAAAGAAGCUGCAGGAAGUUCCUGAAAUUAUUGAAACAAAAAUUUCCCCCUGAAAUCUAAGUCAUGCAAGUGAAAUUAUUUAAACAUUCCCUUCAACUUUAUAUUUCAAAAGCGCUUUACAAUAGCUUCUUAUGUUAUCCAUCCCUCGACUAGCUGAAA